CCUACGGGAGGCUGCAGUCGAGAAUUAUUCACAAUGGGGGAAACCCUGAUGGUGCGACGCCGCGUGGGGGAAUGAAGGUCUUCGGAUUGUAAACCCCUGUCAUGUGGGAGCAAAUUAAAAAGAUAGUACCACAAGAGGAAGAGACGGCUAACUCUGUGCCAGCAGCCGCGGUAAUACAGAGGUCUCAAGCGUUGUUCGGAAUCACUGGGCGUAAAGCGUGCGUAGGCUGUUUUGUAAGUCGUGUGUGAAAGGCGCGGGCUCAACCCGCGGACGGCACAUGAUACUGGGAGACUAGAGUAAGGGAGGGGGAACCGGAAUUCUCGGUGUAGCAGUGAAAUGCGUAGAUAUCGAGAGGAACACUCGUGGCGAAGGCGGGUUCCUGGACAUUAACUGACGCUGAGGCACGAAGGCCAGGGGAGCGAAAGGGAUUAGAUACCCGAGUAGUC
rnacentral:rRNA from 1 species